GCAACAGAAGUUCAACUGGUAGAAUCUCUCCUUGCCACGGAGAAGGAAGUGGGUUCGAGUCCCAUCUGUUGCU
rnacentral:tRNA from 1 species